GUGCCAGCAGCCGCGGUAAUACGGGGGGGGCAAGCGUUGUUCGGAAUUACUGGGCGUAAAGGGCUCGUAGGCGGCUCGCUAAGUCGGACGUGAAAGCCCUCGGCUUAACCGGGGAACGGCGUCUGAGACUGGCAAGCUUGAAUCCGGGAGAGGGAUGCGGAAUUCCAGGUGUAGCGGUGAAAUGCGUAGAUAUCUGGAGGAACACCGGUGGCGAAGGCGGCAUCCUGGACCGGCAUUGACGCUGAGGAGCGAAAGCCAGGGGAGCAAACGGGAUUAGAAACCCGCGUAGUCC
rnacentral:rRNA from 1 species